rnacentral:rRNA from 1 species
UACGUAGGGUGCAAGCGUUAAUCGGAAUUACUGGGCGUAAAGCGUGCGCAGGCGGUUUCGUAAGUCUGUCGUGAAAUCCCCGGGCUUAACCUGGGAAUGGCGAUGGAGACUGCAAGGCUAGAGUUUGGCAGAGGGGGGUAGAAUUCCACGUGUAGCAGUGAAAUGCGUAGAGAUGUGGAGGAACACCGAUGGCGAAGGCAGCCCCCCGGGUCAAAACUGACGCUCAUGCACGAAAGCGUGGGGAGCAAACAGG